rnacentral:rRNA from 1 species
GACGAACGCUGGCGGCGUGCCUAACACAUGCAAGUGGAGCGACGAACCAGGCUUCGGCCUGGGGCAGAGCCGCGAACGGGUGAGUAACACGUGGGUAACCUGCCCUGAUGAUUGGGACAACCCGAGGAAACUCGGGCUAAUACCAAAUGUGCCCUCCGACCAUAAGGUCGCUGGGGAAAGAAGCUUCGGCCUCCGCAUCGGGAUGGGCCCGCGGCCCAUUAGCUUGUUGGUGAGGUAAGGCUCACCAAGGCAACGAUGGGUAGCUGGUCUGAGAGGACGAUCAGCCACACUGGGACUGAGACACGGCCCAGACUCCUACGGGAGGCAGCAGUGGGGAAUCUUGCGCAAUGCGCGAAAGCGUGACGCAGCAACGCCGCGUGGGGGAAGAAGGCCU